GACGAACGCUGGCGGCGUGCUUAACACAUGCAAGUCGAACGAUGAAGAAAAGAAUUGAAGCUUCGGCAGAAAUUCAUUUCGGAUUAGUGGCAGACGGGUGAGUAACGCGUGAGCAACCUACCUCUUACAAAGGGAUAGCCUCGGGAAACCGGGAUUAAUACCAUAUAACAUUGCGACGAAGCAUUUCGAUGCAAUCAAAGCUACGGCGGUAAGAGAUGGGCUCGCGUCCCAUUAACCAGAUGGUGAGGUAACGGCUCACCAUAGUAACGAUGGGUAACCGGCCUGAGAGGGAGAACGGUCACACUGGAACAGAGACACGGUCCAGACUUCUGCGAGAGGCAGCAGUGGGGAAUAUUGCACUAUGGAGAGAACUCUGAUGCCGACGCCGCGUGAGUGAUGAUGGAAUUCGUUUCGUAAAACUCUGUUCUAUGGGAAGAAAAGGACUGUACCAUAGGAGAAAGCUCCGGCUAAAUACGUG
rnacentral:rRNA from 1 species